rnacentral:rRNA from 1 species
ACGAACGCUGGCGGCGUGCCUCAUACCUGCAAGUCGAGCGGACGAAUCGAAAGCUUGCUUUUGAUUCGUUAGCGGCGGACGGGUGAGUAACACGUGGGCAACCUGCCCUGUAGACGGGGAUAACACCGAGAAAUCGGUGCUAAUACCGGAUAACACGAAAUGUCGCAUGACGUUUCGUUGAAAGACGGCGCAAGCUGUCGCUACAGGAUGGGCCCGCGGCGCAUUAGCUAGUUGGUGAGGUAACGGCUCACCAAGGCGACGAUGCGUAGCCGACCUGAGAGGGUGAUCGGCCACACUGGGACUGAGACACGGCCCAGACUCCUACGGGAGGCAGCAGUAGGGAAUCUUCCGCAAUGGACGAAAGUCUGACGGAGCAACGCCGCGUGAGCGAAGAAGGCCUUCGGGUCGUAAAGCUCUGUUGUUAGGGAAGAACAAGUAACGCAGUAACUGGCGUUACCGUGACGGUACCUAACGAGAAAGCCACGGCUAACUACGUG